ACAAUUCCCAUAAGUAGUUAGAAGCCUCAUGAUUCCCACCAAUGAAAAUUGUGGGAAUCGGAGCAACUUCUUGGCCGGAGUAGUACUUCCAGAAAGAUUUCAUCUCUCUGUAUUUUCUAGGUACGUUAAGGCUAUCCAUGUCUUUCUCAUUUCUAACAGCCUAAUGUUUUCCACAAAGAACGAAUCUUUUCAGACUUAGGAAGCAGAAUCGAAUGGAUUUUUAUUUUCAAGGUAAAAAAAAACAAACGAUUACCUGAAAAUCGCCGCAGCAGAGGAGGAGAUCGACUUUAGUGUUGUGAAUCUGUUCGUAAUGUUGAAUUGUUUUAUACACAUUGUCUAGGUCUCCAUGCAUACAACCUUCAAUUGCAAUCUUCAUCUCUCUGCUGAAUUCUACUAUUCUCGGGUUUCACUAAUUCGACGAGCUCAACUUACAAAUUUGAAUUCGUGCCGUGAGACGAACAAACGAUU
rnacentral:lncRNA from 1 species